rnacentral:rRNA from 1 species
GACGGAGGUAGUAACACGUGGGUGAACUGCCCUGCACUUCGGGAUAAGCUUGGGAAACUGGGUCUAAUACCGGAUAGGAACCAUCUUUAGUGUGGUGGUUGGAAAGUUUUUUCGGUGUAGGAUGAGCUCGCUGCCUAUCAGCUUGUUGGUGGGGUAAUGGCCUACCAAGGCGGCGACGGGUAGCCGGCCUGAGAGGGUGUACGGCCACAUUGGGACUGAGAUACGGCCCAG